rnacentral:rRNA from 2 species
ACGGGUGAGUAAUAUAUCGGAACGUGCCCAGUUGUGGGGGAUAGCCCGGCGAAAGCCGGAUUAAUACCGCAUACGACCUGAGGGUGAAAGCGGGGGAUCGCAAGACCUCGCGCAAUUGGAGCGGCCGAUAUCAGAUUAGCUAGUUGGUGGGGUAAAGGCCUACCAAGGCGACGAUCUGUAGCUGGUCUGAGAGGACGACCAGCCACACUGGGACUGAGACACGGCCCAGACUCCUACGGGAGGCAGCAGUGGGGAAUUUUGGACAAUGGGCGCAAGCCUGAUCCAGCCAUGCCGCGUGCGGGAAGAAGGCCUUCGGGUUGUAAACCGCUUUUGUCAGGGAAGAAACGGUCUGAACUAAUACUUUGGACUAAUGACGGUACCUGAAGAAUAAGCACCGGCUAACUACGUGCCAGCAGCCGCGGUAAUACGUAGGGUGCAAGCGUUAAUCGGAAUUACUGGGCGUAAAGCGUGCGCAGGCGGCUAUGCAAGACAGAUGUGAAAUCCCCGGGCUCAACCUGGGAACUGCAUUUGUGACUGCAUGGCUAGAGUACGGUAGAGGGGGAUGGAAUUCCGCGUGUAGCA